UUAAUGAUGGAUGAAUCUUUAGCAAAGAUUU
rnacentral:piRNA from 1 species